rnacentral:rRNA from 1 species
GACGAACGCUGGCGGCGUGCUUAACACAUGCAAGUCGAACGGAAAGGCUCCAGCUUGCUGGAGUACUCGAGUGGCGAACGGGUGAGUAACACGUGGGUAAUCUGCCCUGCACUCUGGGAUAAGCCUGGGAAACUGGGUCUAAUACUGGAUAUGACCUUUCUCCUUAUGGGGUUUGGUGGAAAGUUUUUCGGUGUAGGAUGAGCCCGCGGCCUAUCAGCUUGUUGGUGGGGUGAUGGCCUACCAAGGCGACGACGGGUAGCCGGCCUGAGAGGGUGAUCGGCCACAUUGGGACUGAGAUACGGCCCAGACUCCUACGGGAGGCAGCAGUGGGGAAUAUUGCACAAUGGGCGGAAGCCUGAUGCAGCGACGCCGCGUGAGGGAUGACGGCCUUCGGGUUGUAAACCUCUUUCAGCAGGGACGAAGCGUAAGUGACGGUACCUGCAGAGGAAGCACCGGCUAACUAUGUG